rnacentral:rRNA from 1 species
UGGGGAAUUUUUGGACAAUGGGGGCAACCCUGAUCCAGCCAUUCCGCGUGAGUGAAGAAGGCCUUCGGGUUGUAAAGCUCUUUCGGCAGGAACGAAACGGUGAGGGUUAAUACCUCUCAUCAAUGACGGUACCUGAAGAAGAAGCACCGGCUAACUACGUGCC